GACGAACGCUGGCGGCGUGCCUAAUACAUGCAAGUCGAGCGAAUGAUAAGGAGCUUGCUCCUUAUCAUUAGCGGCGGACGGGUGAGUAACACGUGGGCAACCUGCCUAUAAGACUGGGAUAACUUCGGGAAACCGGAGCUAAUACCGGAUACGUUCUUUUCUCGCAUGAGAGAAGAUGGAAAGACGGUCUCGGCUGUCACUUAUA
rnacentral:rRNA from 1 species